CAUAAUUUUAGUUACAAUUUAAAUCACGUUUCUCUACCAUGAAAAUCUUGACAAAACAAUAUUAACAGAGUUACUUCCCUUAAACAAACUAGCGAUGCAAAUAAAUGGAAACAUGUACUAGUUUAUUUUAUAUUCUUUAUUUUUCGAACUAGGCAAGAUGAAGUGGCAGGAGAUUAUAGGAAUUAGCAUCAAACCAGACCCACCAGUUAAAGAAUUAGUCCCCGGUUUUAUCGCUGCCAUAUUGUUUUACUUUCUAUCAUUUAUUGUCUGUUACUUGGCGUUUCGUAUCUCCAGAAUCAUCUUCCCGAAAUCCAUCCAUUCAGUGACCACGGAAUUCUUUAAGACAAUGUUAAUCUGUACAUAUCCGUACGGACACGGACAAAUCCGACAAUUAUAUGGAUCCAUCGGAUACUUUCUUACAGUGGUCCCGCUAGCUUUUUUCACCAUUGCUGCGUUUCCUGAUGGACACGGCUCGCCAUUGACAACAUUUUUAGAAUUUUUAAAAGGACGGGUUUCAUUUUACUCGCUGGUGUUUCGUAGCUUUGUCCAGACUCUCGGUGCCUUCACGUCUUAUAAACUCGCCAUGUUUGUGUGGUCAUUGAGGAUCCAUUCGUUUCAUACGAGUCAAUUUAAUUCCACCGUAUGUUCAUCAGAUCUGAAAGUGUCCCUGGAAGUGGGAUUUGUUUUAGAACUGCUCUGUGUCGCUUUUGACACGUGGUUGAAUUUCCAGAAACUUUCUAGGUUUCCUGUGGUGGAUUCUGUGCUGAAAAUAUCUAACUGUGCACUAAUGGUUUGUUUAGGUGUCCAUUUAACGGGGAUGUAUCUUCACCCGGCUAUGGCGUCCGGACUAUCUUUCUUCUGUAACGGAACGUCAGCUUUAGAUCAUAUCCUAGUCUACUGGAUCAGCUCCUUCCUAGGUUGCUACCUUGGUAACGUCAUACAUGUCAAGGUCACAAGUUCAAAGUUUGAGACAAACAAAUCAAAUGGAAGCUCACAUGAAAUAGUUGCACAAACUGGUGGUAUAUCAAAGAAGACGAAUUAAAUAUAUUGUGUAAAAUGCUUGAAAUACAAAUACGGCGUUCAUAUUGAUAUUACUUUUUUUAUAGAUAAAAAGCUUCACCAGCAAUUUUAUGAGUGUUAACUUACUUUCUAAGA